rnacentral:rRNA from 1 species
CACGCUGUAAACGAUGAAUACUAGGUGUGGGGGGACUGACCCCCUCCGUGCCGGAGUUAACACAAUAAGUAUUCCACCUGGGGAGUACGGCCGCAAGGUUGAAACUCAAAGGAAUUGACGGGGGCCCGCACAAGCAGUGGAUUAUGUGGUUUAAUUCGAAGCAACGCGAAGAACCUUACCAGGGCUUGACAUCCUGCUAACGGAGUGGAAACACAUCAGGUGCCCUUCGGGGAAAGCAGAGACAGGUGG